GGUAUGGAUGUUAAGACAUAUGUCAGC
rnacentral:sRNA from 1 species